AAAGAGCCUUUAAAGGUUUGAAUUUUUGUUAUCGAUGCAUCGAGCUCUGCGGCUUCUUGAUAACGCAGAUAACAUCAGCAUAAUGCAUGUGUUUGUUGGGUAAACACCUAUACACUGUGUCCAAGACAAGGCCACAAUGGGCAUUUUGGAAAAUCAGUAAAUGUUGAGCAAUUAAAAGACUAAUAAAAUAGUGUUUUCGAAUUUUCGUUUUUGAGUUUAAUUUUCCAAUUUUUCGACUACACUUUUUUGUAGUAGCUAAAAGUCAUCAUCAAACCGUUAAUGAAUUUUGGACAUUUGGCACUUUUUUGUGCGAUUUUUCGUUUGUGCACCAUGCUCAUCUGCAGCACAUUUCUCAAGAACCAUUUGAGGCAUCAAAAUACGAUCUUCCGUAGUUUAUAGGAGAAUAUAGCUUCAAUUGACUUGUGCAAAUUUGAUUCCAUUGGAGCAAGUGGUUCCUUCAUAAUCAAUUUUAGAAUAUUGAUACUUUUUUGGGCGGUUUUUCUUUUGUGCUGUAUGCUUUUCUAAACCACGUUUCUCAAGAACCACUCCAGGCAGUGAAAUACGGUCCUCAGCAAUUUAUAGGUGAUGCUUUAAUUUACUUGUCGUGUAAGUUGGUUCAAUUUCAACACGUGGUUCGUUUAUAAUUAGGUUUGGAAAUGUUGAAGUUUUUUGCCCGGUGUUUUGUUUGUAGUCGAGACGUUUGUGAAGAUCCAUUUGAGGCACCUGAAUUGAGAUCGUAACAGUUGAGAGAAAAAGCAUCGAUUGACGUGUGACCAUUGUGUCCAGAAGAAAUCUUUAACUAUGUGUUUUUUGGUACGGCCCUGAUCGUUCAUUAGCAAAUUUAAAAAGUUGAUUUCCUUCUGAAUUCAACGAUGUAAGUUCUAAGCAUUUCUGGCAUCACUGUACGUACAAUAAAAAGAUGCUCAGGGUAAUUCAGCAUGAGGAAGUUUUAGAUUUUGCUAACGAACUGAACAUUAAUUAUGGUUUAUUGAAAACGAAACGUGCAAGCAACACCCAAUCAUGUCUUCACUUGAAAUAGCUGUGGGAAAAAAGGCGAUUUUACUCGAUCUUUGAAGUUAACUAAAAAAACACGUGUUAACCAACUUGGAAUCAUUAACGAAAUCUGCAUACUGGCCCGUCUUAUCUUGAAAUUUUCAUGUGCAGAAGACCAGUUGUCAUUAAGAAUCAAAUUUCCUGCAAAUCAGUGACAUGCUAGAAAACCGCCGAGUUUUGAACAUUCAGUUGCAUUAUUAGGUCAGAUGUUUGCAGGCAGAGACGUCGCUCCAUGAUUUCGUGCCACUUCACUGUCCCAAUUUUUAAGUUUGUUUUUGGAAUGAGGGACAAACGAUCAUUGUUUUUGCUCGAAUAGUUGGUAUGCACAGAUCAAGCCAGUUUGGAGCCUAAUAAAGAAAAUAUAGAUGCAGGAUGAAUUUUCUAUUUUGCAAGCGAAAAUGUGAAGAGUUCUAGUGAAAAUGGUGGUACCGAGAGUAGAGUUCAAUAUACCCAAAAAAGGACGGAAAGGGUGAAGGUCUGUAACGCAGUACUUUGCCUUUGAAUAAACUUUUAAUCUACAGUGUUCCACAUACAUCGAAACAAAAGCUACAUUUUUCUUUGUAUGUGUUUAAUUUCUGCUAAUAGUGCAUGCCAUGUUAUUUGUUUAAAUACACAAUUUAGAAAACAUAGAUGAAUGAAAAAGGAUUUACAUUUCGAAAUUCUAUAAUUUUUGUCCAAAAUUCUAGUCCAAGUCAAUUGAAUUCUCUAUGAAUUAAAACAUCUUGCGACUCUUUUAAGAGAAUUUUUUUCGUGCCUAAAUCAAUAGAUAUAUAAUGGUAAAUACGAGGCAAUGUGCCAACAAAAAUUUGCAAAUUUAUAUAGGAUAGUUAAAAUUCCUUAGGGUCUUCUGCAUGUUUUAACUCCAUUACGGAAAGUUUGCAGAAGUAGACAAAAUUUAAUCACCCUGUAUAUUUUCAAAAAAUUACAAUACUCUACUGUUCCGAAUUAACUUAAAUUUUUAAUGUAAAAUUAUAUAUCGUGCAUACAAAUUAAAUCGUGUACAAGCCUAA